AGGCUUUGCCAUUGCACAUCGGGUUAGCUGACCCUUGCGAUUACCCCAAAUGUGGGGUAACUCGGUCGUAUAAUUUCUGGUAGUGGGGACUGCGUUCGCGCUAUCCCCGU
rnacentral:snRNA from 1 species